rnacentral:rRNA from 1 species
GACGAACGCUGGCGGCGUGCUUAACACAUGCAAGUCGAACGAUGAAGAAGAGCUUGCUCUUCGGAUUAGUGGCGAACGGGUGAGUAACACGUGACUAACCUGCCCCUUUCUCUGGGAUAACGCUCCGAAAGGAGUGCUAAUACCGGAUACUCACAUCGAGGCACAUGCCUUGAUGUGGAAAGUUUUUCGGAAAGGGAUGGAGUCGCGGCCUAUCAGCUUGUUGGUGAGGUAACGGCUCACCAAGGCGACGACGGGUAGCCGGCCUGAUAGGGCGACCGGCCACACUGGGACUGAGACACGGCCCAGACUCCUACGGGAGGCAGCAGUGGGGAAUAUUGCACAAUGGGCGAAAGCCUGAUGCAGCGACGCCGCGUGAGGGAUGAAGGUCUUCGGAUUGUAAACCACUUUCAGUAGGGACGAAGCGAAAGUGACGAUACCUAAAGAAGAAGCACUGGCUAACUACGUGCCAGCAGCCGCCGUAA